rnacentral:rRNA from 1 species
UACGUAGGCAGCAAGCGUUGUUCGGAAUUACUGGGCGUAAAGAGUGUGUAGGCGGUGCUCUAAGUUCGGUGUGAAAUCUCCCGGCUCAACUGGGAGGGUGCGCCGAAAACUGGAGUGCUGGAGCGCGGGAGAGGAAAGCGGAAUUCCUGGUGUAGCGGUGAAAUGCGUAGAUAUCGAGAGGAACACCUGCGGCGAAGGCGGGUUGCUGGGCUGACACUGACGCUGAGGCGCGAAAGCUAGGGGAGCGAACGGG